GGGAACGUAGCACAACAGGCGGUGCGCUCGGUAUGUGACCGAAAGGGUGGAGGUUCGACCCCUCCCGUUCCUA
rnacentral:tRNA from 1 species